AUUGAACGCUGGCGGCAGGCCUAACACAUGCAAGUCGAACGGUAACAGGAAACAGCUUGCUGUUUCGCUGACGAGUGGCGGACGGGUGAGUAAUGUCUGGGAAACUGCCUGAUGGAGGGGGAUAACUACUGGAAACGGUAGCUAAUACCGCAUAACGUCGCAAGACCAAAGAGGGGGACCCUCGGGCCUCUUGCCAUCGGAUGUGCCCAGAUGGGAUUAGCUUGUUGGUGGGGUAACGGCUCACCAAGGCGACGAUCCCUAGCUGGUCUGAGAGGGUGACCAGCCACACUGGAACUGAGACACGGUCCAGACUCCUACGGGAGGCAGCAGUGGGGAAUAUUGCACAAUGGGCGCAAGCCUGAUGCAGCCAUGCCGCGUGUAUGAAGAAGGCCUUCGGGUUGUAAAGUACUUUCAGCGGGGAGGAAGGGAGUAAAGUUAAUACCUUUGCUCAUUGACGUUACCCGCAGAAGAAGCACCGGCUAACUCCGUG
rnacentral:rRNA from 1 species